rnacentral:lncRNA from 1 species
CGUAUGUCUCCUGUUCCCCAGGUUCCCUCUGCUGAGCCCCAGGUUUCAGAGUGCGCCUCGAGCUCAGGACCUUCCCUGACCCCCAGCCCGUGGUUUCCAGCCAUCCUGUGUUCCCAGGGACAUGGGCUGUGUCUGCCUCCGCUGGCUACGGUGUCCCCGGCACUGCGUGUACCAACCCAUGGAGGGGAGAGACUUGGGCGCUGUGGUCCUUGGGGGGCUUUGGAUGGACACGCACUUUUCCUUUCUCCUGUUGCCCCUCUUCACUUGAGGUCAGCACGUCGGUGUCCCCUGGUUAGUACAUGAGGGCACGGUGGCAGUAUGAAGGGUGGGGACAUAUUCCUGUCAGCAUGGAGGGUCAGCUGUGUGUGUCAUCCUCAUCACAGCGACUACGUGGGGACUUAGAAAGAUGGCAUCACAGACUUCUGCAGCAGAAGUCACUUCUGUGUGAUGUUUCUGGUAACAGAUGUCAGCUCUCUGGGGCUCUGAUGGUUAGGUUGCCAGGGGCUCUCAAAAAUCUAACCUUUCAGACCUGGGUGGGGAUCAGCUGUUGGCAUGGGAGGGUAUCGCAAAAGGCUCUUAUGACAUUGUGUUGGACCUGACCCAGACACUAAUGAAAGAAUAAUCCUCCCCAAAUCACCCCAAAGCUAGUAAUCCCCAGGCUGCGUGUUGGUGAUUAAAAAAGAAAGGUAAGAGCAGCUGUCUUUUUGUCCGGUUUAAUUAUGCCCAGGUCCCUGGGCGAGGGCUAAUUUCCUGGUGGCCCUGGCUGUGGGUGGAGGACGGUGUUAGGUUUCUGCAGUCUGCAGGGACUGAAUGUGCAGACGUGGAUUCUGCCCUGCAGAGGCCUCAAGACCUGGGGACAGUCCCGGGGAGCUCAAGCAGGUGAGCUCAGGUUGCGUGGCUUUUAAUUUCUGCCCUCUGAGCUGGAGACAUGGGUCUCUGUGUGCCAGAGGACACGGCAGUGCUAUCAGGUGUCAGCUAGGCCGCACACCUUAAUUAACA